GACGAACGCUGGCGGCGUGCUUAACACAUGCAAGUCGAACGGAAAGGCCCCCUUGUGGGAUACUCGAGUGGCGAACGGGUGAGUAACACGUGAGUAACCUACCCUUGACUUUGGGAUAACUUCAGGAAACUGGGGCUAAUACCGGAUAGGAGCUCCUGCUGCAUGGUGGGGGUUGGAAAGUUUCGGCGGUUGGGGAUGGACUCGCGGCUUAUCAGCUUGUUGGUGGGGUAGUGGCUCACCAAGGCUUUGACGGGUAGCCGGCCUGAGAGGGUGACCGGCCACAUUGGGACUGAGAUACGGCCCAGACUCCUACGGGAGGCAGCAGUGGGGAAUAUUGCACAAUGGGCGGAAGCCUGAUGCAGCAACGCCGCGUGCGGGAUGACGGCCUUCGGGUUGUAAACCGCUUUCGCCUGUGACGAAGCGUGAGUGACGGUAAUGGGUAAAGAAGCACCGGCUAACUACGUG
rnacentral:rRNA from 1 species